CCGAACGUCCUUUGUCUACAAAACCAUCAGACUGUCUAGCGUUUUCCUCCUCGACACGGAGCUUCAGGCCGCCUAUGCUGGCUGUGGAUCUAGACUGUGCUAUCGUGGCUGAGGAUUUCUUUUGUUUUAAUUCAGCGAUUCGGGUCCGGAUAUCUCGACAAAUCAGCUACCACAUGAGGGGCUCCUGAGGAGGAAGAGGCACCCUCACCAUACGUCUGCCC